rnacentral:rRNA from 1 species
CCUACGGGAGGCAGCAGUGAGGAAUAUUGGUCAAUGGACGAGAGUCUGAACCAGCCAAGUAGCGUGAAGGAUGACUGCCCUAUGGGUUGUAAACUUCUUUUAUAAAGGAAUAAAAUGAGGCACGUGUGCCGUUUUGCAUGUACUUUAUGAAUAAGGAUCGGCUAACUCCGUGCCAGCAGCCGCGGUAAUACGGAGGAUCCGAGCGUUAUCCGGAUUUAUUGGGUUUAAAGGGAGCGUAGAUGGGUUUUUAAGUCAGUUGUGAAAGUUUGCGGCUCAACCGUAAAAUUGCAAUUGAUACUGGCAGUCUUGAGUACAGUUGAGGUAGGCGGAAUUCGUGGUGUAGCGGUGAAAUGCUUAGAUAUCACGAAGAACCCCGAUUGCGAAGGCAGCUUACUAAGCUGUGACUGACAUUGAUGCUCGAAAGUGUGGGUAUCAAACAGGAUUAGAUACCCGUGUAGUC